AUGAUGUUUGAACAUGUACUUCUUUUGAGUGUCUAUUUAUUUUUGAUUGGUAUCUAUGGAUUGGUCACAAGCCAAAACAUGGUUAGAACUCUAAUAUGUCUUGAACUUAUACUGAAUUCACUUAAUAUAGAUCUCGUAACUUUUGAUCUAUUUGAUAGUCGUCAAUUAAAAGGAGAUGUUUGGACAAAUUUUGUUAUAGCCCUUGCAGCUGCUGAAACCACUAUCAGAUAG
rnacentral:rRNA from 1 species